rnacentral:rRNA from 1 species
UACGUAGGGUGCGAGCGUUGUCCGGAAUUAUUGGGCGUAAAGGGCUCGUAGGCGGCUUGUCGCGUCGACUGUGAAAACUCGGGGCUCAACUCCGAGCUUGCAGUCGAUACGGGCAGGCUAGAGUUCGGUAGGGGAGACUGGAAUUCCUGGUGUAGCGGUGAAAUGCGCAGAUAUCAGGAGGAACACCGGUGGCGAAGGCGGGUCUCUGGGCCGAUACUGACGCUGAGGAGCGAAAGCGUGGGGAGCGAACAGG